GGGAAUGUGGCUCAGUGGUAGAGUGCUUGCCUAGCAUGCAUGAAGUCCUGGGUUCGAUUCCUCAGUACCU
rnacentral:tRNA from 1 species